rnacentral:rRNA from 1 species
GACGAACGCUGGCGGCGUGCUUAACACAUGCAAGUCGAACGGAAAAGCCCUGCUUUUGUGGGGUGCUCGAGUGGCGAACGGGUGAGUAACACGUGAGUAACCUGCCCUUGACUUUGGGAUAACUUCAGGAAACUGGGGCUAAUACCGGAUAGGAGCUCCUGCUGCAUGGUGUGGGUUGGAAAGUUUCGGCGGUUGGGGAUGGACUCGCGGCUUAUCAGCUUGUUGGUGGGGUAGUGGCUUACCAAGGCUUUGACGGGUAGCCGGCCUGGGAGGGUGACCGGCCACAUGGGGACUGAGAUACGGCCCAGACUCCUACGGGAGGCAGCAGUGGGGAAUAUUGCACAAUGGGCGGAAGCCUGAUGCAGCAACGCCGCGUGCGGGAUGACGGCCUUCGGGUUGUAAACCGCUUUCGCCUGUGACGAAGCGUGAGUGACGGUAAUGGGUAAAGAAGCACCGGCUAACUACGUG